ACGCUUUGCACUCAGAAGUUUUUUCACGAAGUGACGGAAGGCAAAUAUUUACAGUUUGGAACAGCUGCAAAGACCAUGUAAUGAUGCAGUAUAUACAAUAAGCGAUGUUUCAGAGAACAAACGAGAGAAGUCCUGGAACUGGUACACUUGCUAUUUAACAAUGCUGAUGGUCAGAUACAAUUCCAGGUUGGAUCCAGGGGCCGACACGCUUGUCAGAUGGGUCAUUGAUAAUUCCCUGAACACCGCAGAUGUGAUCUGAUUUGGUGACAUGACAGUUGAAUCGGUAGUGACUGGAUUUUAAUAGUGUGCCCUGGUUUUGAACUGUUGAAGUAACCAAACUAGAAACAUCUUUUGAGAACUCUAGACUGCAAUUCUGAUGAUGAAACUCUGUCUACACUUGUGAAAAAUGUGAAGGAGUUGGCUCUGCCCCAUGGCCUUUCCGGGAUCAGGGCUCUCAUAUAACUUUUCUUUAUUUUCUAGCUGGGUAACUGAUACCAAUAUUUAUUUUUUUGUGAUUUUGACUACAACAUAAGUUUAGUUUUAAUUUUGAUAGGACUUUCAAAUCUGGUUUCAGCUUUAGAGCAGUGUAUUAUAUAAUGAAACUGUACUGCUUCAACUAGUCUGUGCUUUUAUAGUGAUAUAAUUAUGAAGUCCUUUAAAUAUAUUUUAUAUAUACAGUCAAAUAUAAAUUUCAGAACAGUCACUUAUCUGCUAUACUGCUAUACUUACAUGUGUAAAUUGCUUAUACAAAUCGUCCAUGUAUGGAUGCAAAAGAAUUACCCUUUUUUCAUUUGUUUGGCAUGUUUUCAUUUUUCUUGGUGCUAUCUUAAACAGAAAUACUGCAUAUCUCUACAUUAGAAAAACAGAAUGUUACUAGCUGUAUUGUGCUGAAAUGUAUUGUGUUAAUACUUCAAACUCUCUAAUAAUAACAAUCAUACAAAUUAGACUGACAUGUAUUGUGAAACUCGAUAGUUGCAUGAUAUAUUACUAGUAAGGAUGUAAGGGUGAAAAUCAGCUAUAGGUUUUGUGAAUUCAUUUUCAAAAGCCAAAUGUGUUAAUACAGACACCCCACCCUUCCAAGAGGUAAUGUUUUAUCGGUUUAUCAGGGGUGUGAGAAUUCUUACGCUGAUUUUAGUUAUUUUUGCUUUUUAUUUUAAGCUUGAUAUCCCCCCUUUCUGUAUAAUAGUUUGAGAACUCAUUCAAUUUAAUCCCCCAACUCUCUACAAAAUUGUCAGGUCUUUAUUUGUCAUCACUCACACACCUGGUUCAUGCAGUUCUAUAGUCGAUGUAUCAUCAUUUUAUUCCAGAAUAUCCAACUGUUAAAUUUUGUUAUUGAAUGUUAUUCAAGAAAGAAAUAAUACAUUAGCUUGAGGUUAAAGAUACACUACAGCACAUGUUUUUCUGUCUAUUUGUAGUAAGAAUUUUACUCUUUUUUUACCCACUAGUAAAGUUUUCAGAUUUGGAAGGAACUAAUGUGUAUUUUGAUAUAUCUUCCUGUUUUGGACUCUGACAAUUUGCAAUUAAAAAAAACAAGUGUUUAAUUUGAAAAUGUAUUGAUGAGUGUAUUUAGCCAAUAACUUGAGAAUGAUGGAAAAAAUACAAAUCUACUUAGUCAUUCGUAUUUUUUUAUCAUUGCAUUUUAUUGCUUUUGUCGCUGUCGUUUGUGAUUUUGAUUAUAAAUUUGUUAAAAAUUAUCCUGUUUGAUAUGACGUUAAAUUAUUGAUUUAAAAUUAUAUUUCCUUCUUGACCUUCAUAGUUAUAAUUGUUUUUACAUGUUCCUUCGGUAAAGACAAGCAUUUAGCACUAUUUGACUUUUUAGUCCUUGACAGUGUGUGAAAAGAUGAAAUAACUCUCAAGGCAAUUGUGUCGACUGAUUUAAUUAUGACAUUCUCUUCAUAAAAAAAGAGUAGUGAAUGUAAUAAGUAAUGCUGACUAUGUUACUUCUAUUUUGAGGGAAAAGAAAUAUGCCAUUUUACUUGUAUAUGUGUAUUUCAAUACAAAUAUACAUUAGAGAAUACAACUUUCCUGCACCACUAGCAUUGAUUAUAUUCCAGUAUUCUUGUGAUUGAAAGUUUAUUCAUUUGUCAUUGGAAUGUUUUGAAUGUAGAAUUUGGUACAUGUUAGCAAUUCUGUAUUUCUAAAUGUGGCAUUCACAGACUAGGAAUGCUGAUUGUGUUAAGCAGUGUAUGAUAUACAAAUAAAUAUAUUGUUGCAUAUAUUCAAGUUUUAUUCAAUGUAUAAAUUGACAAAAUUAUGUCAAUGUGUACCUGGUGGAUUAUUUCCUACACAUUUCACAGCGCAAUAUUAGAUUAAUUGUAAUGAUUAUGAAUGUCGAUGUGUUUGUCACUAGCGAUUAUGGUCCUAUAUAUUAUUGAAAUAAAAAUUUUAUCAAAAAUAUAUCUACAUUAUAGGGAGAUGAUAUUUUAAUGAAUCUAUUAAGCAUACCUUUUAUCGAAAUGAUUGAUAUGAAAAAAUGUUAUAUUUUACUUUUCUAUUUGUCACUUGCUGCUAUGAUUUAAUGUUAUAGAAUUAAAAGUGUUCAUCUAAAUUUAUUCACAUUGCUAACUCUGUAGAUUUAUUUUAUGUAGUUAGUAUUUUCAAUGAUUUAUGACAAGUCAUAACUCUUAAUUUGCAUGAAAAGGUAUUUUAAUAGGAUUUUCAGGAGAGAAUGCAUGACCAUUGUGAUAAAGGAAAAAAUGGAGUAGAGAGAGAUCG